rnacentral:rRNA from 1 species
AUACGGAGGGCGCGAGCGUUAUUCGGAAUCAUUGGGCGUAAAGCGCGUGUAGGCGGCUGGGCAAGUCGGAUGUGAAAGCCCCAGGCUCAACCUGGGAAUGGCAUUCGAUACUGCCUGACUAGAGUAUGGUAGAGGGAAGUGGAAUUUCCGGUGUAGCGGUGAGAUGCGUAGAUAUCGGAAGGAACACCAGUGGCGAAGGCGACUUCCUGGGCCAAUACUGACGCUGAGGUGCGAAAGCGUGGGGAGCAAACAGGAUUAGAAACCCGAGUAGUCC